rnacentral:RNase_P_RNA from 2 species
GAAGUCAACCGGAUGGUCGCGGAGACAAGGGCCGAAAGGCUGUCUCUGAGGAAAGUCCGAGCUCUAUAGGGCAGGGUGCUGGGUAACGCCCAGUGGGGGUGACCCCGAGGAAAGUGCAACAGAGAUAUACCGCCCGUUGAGAAGUGGGACGUCUCACUUCCCAAUAGGUAAGGAUGGAAAGGCGAGGUAAGAGCUCACCGGCAGCCGGGUGACUGGCUGGCCCUGUAAACCCCACCCAGAGCAAGACCGAAUAGGGGAACAAGGAAGCGGCCCGCUUCGUUCCCGGGUUAGGUCGCUUGAGGCCAUUGGUAACAAUGGUCGAAGAUAGAUGAUCAUCACCUCCGCCAGGAGGAACAGAACUCGGCUUACAGGUUGGCUUCGCAC